UACAGAGGGUGCGAGCGUUAAUCGGAAUCACUGGGCGUAAAGCGCGCGUAGGCGGUUCGUUAAGUGGGAUGUGAAAUCCCCGGGCUUAACCUGGGAAUUGCAUUUUCAAACUGGCCGACUAGAGUACGGUAGAGGGAGGUAGAAUUUCCUGUGUAGCGGUGAAAUGCGUAGAUAUAGGAAGGAAUACCAGUGGCGAAGGCG
rnacentral:rRNA from 1 species